rnacentral:lncRNA from 1 species
UUUUUUUCAACUUUCACAUUCCUCUGCCCUCUUUGGCAUUUGACUGGAGGUAGAGGCACCAAAAUACCCUGAGGAAUGCUGUUUUAGAUUAAUUUCUGACCUUGCUGAUUAACCAGUCUUUCUGAUCUUGGUUAACUCUGUUCAUUUUCAGGCCAAAAACCCACUUGGGCAAGAUUCAAACAAACAUCCAGGCCAGCAGCUUCAAGUGCUCUCAUUCACAAGUGAUCAGUCAGAAAUCUCUCUGCUGGGUUUGGUGGCACUGACAUCAAAGGUUGUUUGUUGGCACCUCCACUGCAGUGUCAGUGGCAGUGUGCAGCAGAAGGAGAUCUCAUCUCUGAGCCAUGCUGGAUUAGGAGGUGGGAGUCAGCACUUCUCUUCCAGCAGAUACCAUCCAAGCUUGACCUCCACCAUCCAGAUCUGCAGUGGCUGCAGGGCAGGUGAAGGGAUCUGCAAAUGUCAUGUGCUGUCAUCUUUCCACUGGCUGGCGUCAGAGCCCUCAGAGGCUCCGUGUUGGGACAGCUUCUCCCAUGGUGACAAAGUCCCUGGAAAUGAGGAGGAAGUUGAACGUGGACAUCACUUCUGCCCUGGAGGUAAAAGCAUCUCCUUGCUGAGAUGGCCUUUUUUCUGGAUACUGUGGUGUUAUGCUUUCUGGUGUCUUGUUUGACACCACAAGGGCAGGGGGGCACUGCUGCCAGGAGAGCCGGAGGCAUCUCCUCCCCCCAACAUUUCUUGGUGAGGAGAGGAGGGGAAGUCACAGAAUCAAAGAACCAUUAAGAUUGGAAAAGACCUUAAAGAUCAUCAAAUCCAG